rnacentral:rRNA from 1 species
GACGAACCGUGCGAACGUUGUUCGGAAUCACUGGGCUUAAAGGGCGCGUAGGCGGGCGACCCGGUCGGGGGUGAAAUCGUUCGGCUCAACCGGACAACAGCCUUCGAUACCGGCCGCCUGGAGGGGGGUAGGGGCGUGUGGAACUUCCGGUGGAGCGGUGAAAUGCGUUGAUAUCGGAAGGAACUCCGGUGGCGAAAGCGACACGCUGGACCCCGCCUGACGCUGAGGCGCGAAAGCCAGGGGAGCGAACGGG